rnacentral:tRNA from 1 species
GGCCGGCUGGCCUAAUGGUUAAGGCGUCAGUUUCCGGUGUCAGUUAGCUGAAGAUUCUGGGUUCGACUCCCAGGUUGGUCG